AUUUGUGUUUUAAUAUAAAAAAAUAAUGUGAGUUUUUGAGAUUUUAUAAACAUGAAAAUGCCCACCUACAUCGAUUGCGAUAUAACUAGUACUAUUUGCGCAUCUUCUUUGGUAUUCCUUCGUCUCAGAUUCAUAUAAUAAAGUUGAUGUAAUUCAAUUUUUGAGAAGUGUGUCUUGGAUAACUUCUGAUGAUACUUCUCGAACUUGUGUGCUAUGGAUUUAUAUAUUAAGAAGAUGAUUUAUUGAGUAUUUGAGGUAAUUUCUUAAUGUAGUUCAGUUAUUUAUGAUGGAAUCAAACUAAAUUAUCUUUUAUCUUUUCUGCUUCUUCCUCGUUUCUUAAUUCACUAAGAAUUUCUCCUCUUUUUACUAAUGUAUUUUUGGCCGUUAUAAUAAUUGUAGAAGAUAAAAGAAUAUCUUGAAUGUUAUGGACAUCCUAAAAAUAAAAGAUAGGAUGUAUUCUGACAGAGUUAGUAAAGAAUACUUGGACGGAGUAGAGGAUUUUUUUAAACCACGCCUUUUUUAAAAAACAAGAUGGAGAAAUUUUUUUAUGUCCUUGUAUGGAAUGUGUGCUUAUCCAUCAAGUAAAACGGGCCACAACAUAUGAUCAUCUUGUGGUUAAUGGGAUUAUGCCUUCAUAUGAUACUUGAUUUUAUCAUGGGGAGUCUCUUAAGGCAUCAAAUAAUACUAAAGUAAAUAAUCGCAACCAAUCAACUUUAAGGGGCGAUGAUAUGAGAGGAAUGAUACAUGAUGUCUUUGGAGACUUUACACAGUUUGUGGAGACUAACGUUAGUGGAAGGGGUCAGAUGGAACCAAACCUACAAGAAAAUACUACUCAUCCAUCUGGAAAUCAUUCAUAUCCAGAGGUGGAUAAGUUUGAACGGCUCAUGAAGGAGGCAAACGAAGAACUAUAUCCUGGAUGCAAGAAGUUUAGCAAACUGUCCUUUUUGCUGCAUAUCUAUCGUACAAAAUGCAUGUUCAAAUUGUCAAACGAAUCUUUUCAAUUGCGAGGCAGAGGUGGUUGAGAAUUAUAAAAAGGAACAUAUUGCUGAAAUCAAGAUAUCACAUCGUAAGCAUCGUUUAACGCAACAUCAACUUGAUCGUGUGCAUUUCUAUACAUUUCAUGAGUGGUUCCAGGAGCAAGUGAAGGAGCUGGAAGCCACGUCUAACAUCUUAAAGGAUGUUAAAGUCCUUGCACAAGGGCCUAGUUUCAUUGCGAAAAGAUUUAAUGCGUUCGAGGUAAAUAACGGGUAUCGUUUUCCAACGAAGUAAAGCGAAGAGUUUAAGGAGACACAAAAUAGUGGUGUUAUGGUCGUUUCAAAAAUUGAAAGUUAUGCAAGUAUAAGUGAUUAAUGGAGUAGUUUUGUCUCUUAUUGGCUUUCUGAUAAAGCUAAGGUAUCAACCUUGAGAAUUCUCCUAGCUCAUAUUCAUAGCGUUUUGAUUUUAGUUAUUCUCAAUUUAUAUUUAUUAUUUAUAAGAUCUCGUUUUAAUAUCAUUGAAUGACACAUACGUACCCAAGCAAAUAGAAAUGAUAGGGCCAAACAAAAGAUGCCUCACACAGGAGGAUCCAAAAGUAUUGCUACCUUGAUGAAUGAGUAGGCUGUAAACGGGAUAGAGCCCUACACGAGCAGAAAUUUUCAUAUUAACUCAUACAAAACGUAAGGAUGGUAUACCACUGGAUGAUGAUUCUGCCAAGACAAUCGUAAGAUUUAUUCUUUCUUUUAUUUAUAAAUUGGGAAACAGAUAGAACAUGAGAAAUAUUGUGGAUUUUGUUCAUGUUUCUUCAUUCACUCAAAGAUAUUAGGCAUCAACUUCCCUGUUGCUAUGGUUGUCGAAAAGAAAAAAUAUUGAUUUUUUCAUGAAUUUGUCCUUUGGGAAUUUGCAUUUGCUGGUGAAUAAAAGAGGCAUCUUCAUGGUUACACAGUUUAAAGAAAUUGGAGCAAUUUGCUACGCACAUGAUCAAUAUUAUUGUUCACUUGGCCAAAUGAACUUCAUUUUUUUUUCGAAGAAGUGAAAGAACCAUUUGUGUUUACAUUAAAUUAAAUAAACUAUAGGUUAGUAACUCUUUCAAUACCAUAAUAGCUUAUGAGAGACAACACCGAAUAUCAAAGAAGAUUAGAAACAAUAGUAUAGUUAAAGAGAUGAAGAAUUUCUGUUACAUUACUAAAUGACAUUACAGAAUACUUUCUAGCAGUGGCCUAUUCUGAUGUUCAAUGGCUGUAGCUAAUGAAAUUGGAGUUCGUGGACAUAGUGCUUGAAGUUAGCUGUUGAUACUUUUAUUUUUUACAUUAAGGAGCUAAAUAUAAUCUUCAUGAAACAUGACUGAAACUUGUUGCAUUUAUAUGGGAAUUUUUGGGUCAUUUGUUAAUUAGGUCACAUGUUAGGUAAUGAAAGGAAUUGAAAUCAGUGAUUUAUGUGCCUAGUUGAGUAUCAUGUCAUCUUGUUAGUCAAUGGGUGCACGGAUUGAACUUUGAAAAAUUAUCUUGCUUAUGGAUUAAGAAUGAAAUUUUCAGUAAUAAAGGUUGAGGUUAAUAUACAGAUUGCUAAGCUAUUUUCAUGUUCAUGAAUUCCAAAAUGGAUCUAUCACUAUGGUCAAGAAAUGAUAAAUGAAAGGAUGAGCAAUAGUGGGAGAUCUAUUGAGCAACCUCCUCGCAGUGUUGCUUGGGAAGGCGAUGUGUAUUCCCAGGUGUUGGGAAAUGAAAAUAGUGGGUAUGUUUGUGCUUUGGGACUUGGUCCAACUCCUUUUGUUCUAUGGGGUAGUAAGUCUUCCAUAGGAAAUACUAUUGCAGAUGAUUCGUCUAAUGAGGUUAUACAAAGGUUAGAACAGGAGAUAAUCGAGUUAAAGGAGAAACAAAAUGAAGAAAUGAAUAUGAUGAAACAAAAUCAGGAGAAGAUGCAACUAGAGCUACUCCAAAUGAGACAAUUCAUGAGCAAAUAUGCUCCUAAUGCAUCUAUGCCUCAAAGUAGCAAUGACACCUCAGUUGAACAUAUCCCUGAUGCCAACAAUGGACAUGAAUGAGUACCACAAACAUCAAAGAUACCUAGUGUUGCUGAAAAUGCUCAACCUUCUCAGGUUUCAGGUCAUAUAGUCUAAUGUUCGAUAAUUUAGCGGGUGGAAGAUUUCAAAAUGAUGGAAAGUGCGGAAAUCAUUUGAACACCAUCGUUCGUCUGGAUUAGUUAUUUAAUGACAUUAGUUAUUUAGUUCAAACAAUAUAAGUUUAUUUUUUAAGUUGCUAUAUUUUUAUUAGUACUUUCUUUUGUUAAGAUUUAAAUAUUAUGUUUUUUUGAAUUAAUAUUAAUAUAUUUUAUUUUUUGGAUCAUA